rnacentral:lncRNA from 1 species
GCAAGUACUGAUGAUUUGCAUCGUCGGUUUCACGCUGUGCGCAUAAACACGAUCAGAUUUCCCCCGCACGCGCACUGGAAUUACGCCCAUAACUGACCGGUUAAACGCCUCCCAGUACCACGCCUCAAACCUCCUAUAUAAAUACAGCUGAUAUAUAAGAUUAUCUCGUAUGAUCUGUGUGCAUCGCUCAUAAGCGUCCAGCACCAGGCUCCAGUAGUCGUACGUACACUGCUAGCACAUUUUCGAUCACGAUCCUCGCUAGAAUUCUUGGGACGAAGCUCGGUGGAUCGCAUGGCUUCGCCCGGAACGCGCAUGGUUUUCCUGUCCAUGUUGGUGGUCGUUGCGGGCCUCGCCGUGCCAGCGGUGAGAGCGGUGGGCGACGCGCGCUGGGCGAACCACGGUCACCACCGGCGCGCGCCCCCGGUCCCUGCCGCUCCCCCAUCCUCCCCCGGACCAGCCCUGGCUCCGGCCCCCACGGGUGACGCGGCGGCGGCGAGCCCGUCUUCCGGAACGUCGGCGCCGGCCACGAGCUCGCCCGCCCCGUCACCCGCGGCGGAGAGCAAGAGUGCUGCAGCGGCCUUCUUGCCGUUGGCUUGGCCGGCCGUGGUCGUAGGCGCUGCCGCCGUGUCCGCCGUGAUGAUUUUCUGAGCCAUCGUAGCUGAUCUCCUCUUCUAAGUUGUGCCGGCAGGCCAGGCCAGGCCAGCGCUGCAACAGCCCUAAACUGGUUUCUGGAUUGAUUUUUCUGAAGUGAGUAGUCCGGCAAUGCGGAAGGAACAGCGGAACAAGUAGUGUCUACAGCACCCGUCUGAACUUUUUCGUUCUCCUUAUUAGUUUCAUGUAUCACGGUUUAUUUAUUUUUCCUAUUUGCGAAAUUUUGGUCGAUGAUUACUAUGAUUAUUAUUUUCGAACGAGAUAAGUCUAUGUUGUCAUUGUGUUCAGAACCGAUGAGCAUGCGGAAACGUGAGCAGGGCAUGCGGAGCCGAAACCGGAAUGCCAGCCAAAUUCUAGCACACCUCCUGAAAUGCAGCCGCAGCCUGCGCCUCCUCUCCUCUCCUUCUUCCCUCUCCUCUACCUCCCGUCUCGAGCAUAGCGGGGGAGAAUCGCUUGUUGAUAGACGCACAGCACGGCACCUGCCGGCCACCGCAGUCCGCAGGGCAGGAUUCCCCGAGAAAUGCGAGAAAUUAUGGAAGGUUCACCGGAGGAGGUGAACUCCCCGGAGGAAGGAAGAAGGGCUCAAGACGCCCGCAGGAAGAGCAGCAGCAGCAGCUCCAGCAGCAGCAGCAGCAGCUCCAGCUCCAGCAGCGACGACGACGAGCCGGCAGAGCACACAGCAGGAACCAUCGGCGAGCUGAACGGAGGAGCUCCUGCUGGAGCCCCCGGUGCUGCGGACGGCACCUCCGGCGCCAUCGCGAACGCACGAGAGCAGCAGCCGUGCGAGCACAAGGUUCGCGCGUCAGGCCUGCACAAAUGACACCAGCCUUGCAUUUCUCAACAAAAAAGAAAAAAAAUAAAGAAUUGCAGUUUGCAUUCUGAGGACUGAAAUGGCGUCUGUUUCUGCAAGGUGGAGAAGGCUGGGGGGCUCAACCUCGUGCUGAUGCUGAUGGUCGCGG